CCUACGGGAGGCAGCAGUGAGGAAUAUUGGUCAAUGGCCGGAAGGCUGAACCAGCCAUGCCGCGUGAAGGUCAGUGCCCUAUGGGCGUUAAACUUCUUUUGUGCGGGAGCAAUAAUGGUCACGUGUGGCCAGACGAGAGUACCGUACGAAUAAGCAUCGGCUAACUCCGUGCCAGCAGCCGCGGUAAUACGGGGGAUGCAAGCGUUAUCCGGAUUUAUUGGGUUUAAAGGGUGCGUAGGCUGUGAGGUAAGUCAGCGGUGAAAUGCCCCCGCUCAACGGGGUGAAGUGCCAUUGAUACUGUUCGGCUAGAGAGUAGUUGCGGUAGGCGGAAUGUAUGGUGUAGCGGUGAAAUGCUUAGAGAUCAUACAGAACACCGAUUGCGAAGGCAGCUUACCAAGCUACUUCUGACGUUGAGGCACGAAAGCGUGGGGAGCAAACAGGAUUAGAUACCCGAGUAGUC
rnacentral:rRNA from 1 species